UACAGAGGGGGCAAGCGUUGUUCGGAAUUACUGGGCGUAAAGGGCGCGUAGGCGGGCCGUCAAGUCGAGGGUGAAAUCCCCCAGCUCAACUGGGGAAGUGCCUCCGAUACUGGCGGCCUCGAGGGGGAUAGGGGCAUGCGGAACUUCCGGUGGAGCGGUGAAAUGCGUAGAUAUCGGAAGGAACACCGGUGGCGAAAGCGGCGUGCUGGAUCCCUUCUGACGCUGAGGCGCGAAAGCCAGGGGAGCGAACGGG
rnacentral:rRNA from 1 species